rnacentral:tRNA from 1 species
GGUUCCAUAGUGUAUAGCGGUUAGCACGUCUGCUUUACACGCAGAAGGUCCUGGGUUCGUACCCCAGUGAAGUCA